AGAGUUUGAUCCUGGCUCAGGAUGAACGCUGGCGGCGUGCUUAACACAUGCAAGUCGAACGGUGAAGCAGUGCUUGCUCUGUGGAUCAGUGGCGAACGGGUGAGUAACACGUGAGCAACCUGCCCCUGACUCUGGGAUAAGCGCUGGAAACGGCGUCUAAUACUGGAUAUGAGCUGCGAUCGCAUGGUCAGCAGUUGGAAAGAUUUUUCGGUCUGGGAUGGGCUCACGGCCUAUCAGCUUGUUGGUGAGGUAAUGGCUCACCAAGGCGUCGACGGGUAGCCGGCCUGAGAGGGUGACCGGCCACACUGGGACUGAGACACGGCCCAGACUCCUACGGGAGGCAGCAGUGGGGAAUAUUGCACAAUGGGCGAAAGCCUGAUGCAGCAACGCCGCGUGAGGGAUGACGGCCUUCGGGUUGUAAACCUCUUUUAGCAGGGAAGAAGCGAAAGUGACGGUACCUGCAGAAAAAGCGCCGGCUAACUACGUGCCAGCAGCCGCGGUAAUACGUAGGGCGCAAGCGUUAUCCGGAAUUAUUGGGCGUAAAGAGCUCGUAGGCGGUUUGUCGCGUCUGCUGUGAAAUCCCGAGGCUCAACCUCGGGUCUGCAGUGGGUACGGGCAGACUAGAGUGCGGUAGGGGAGAUUGGAAUUCCUGGUGUAGCGGUGGAAUGCGCAGAUAUCAGAGGAACACCGAUGGCGAAAGCAGAUCUCUGGGCCGUUACUGACGCUGAGGAGCGAAAGGGUGGGGAGCAAACAGCUUAGAUACCCUGGUAGUUCACCCCGUAAACGUUGGGAACUAGUUGUGGGGUCCAUUCCACGGAUUCCGUGACGCAGCUAACGCAUUAAGUUCCCCGCCUGGGGAGUACGGCCGCAAGCUAAA
rnacentral:rRNA from 1 species